rnacentral:rRNA from 1 species
GACGAACGCUGGCGGCGUGCCUAAUACAUGCAAGUCGAACGCAGUGGGGACGGGUGAGUAACACGUGGGUAACCUCCCAUCAGAGGGGAUAACACUUGGAAACAGGUGCUAAACCGAUACUGAUGGAUGGACCCGAGGAGCAUUAGCUUGUUGGUGAGGUAACGGCUCACCAAGGCCACGAUGCAUAGGCUACCUGAUAGGUGUAUCUGCCACACUGGGACUGAGGAACGGCCCAGACUCCUACGGGAGGAAUCAGGAGGGAAUCGUCGGAAAUGGAAGACAGUCUGACCGAGCAACGCCGCGUUAGUGAAGAAGGUUUUCGGAUCGUAAAACUCUGUUGUUAGGGAAGCGGUAUCUAACCAGAAAGCCACGGCGAACUACGUGCCAGCCCCCGCGGUAAUAC